rnacentral:lncRNA from 1 species
CAACUUCUCUGUGCAAGAGCCAAUGGAAGGCACCAAUGUUGUCGUGUGCGUCACAGUUGCUGUCACACCAUCAAAUUUGAAAGCAGAAGAUGCAAAAUUUCCACUCGAUUUCCAAGUGAUUCUGCAUCCCAUCGACGUUGUGAGCUGUCCUUCCAAGAAGCAUCUUUCAGCCCACCCCAGCCUGAGAUAGUUUCCAGGGCUUUCAGACGAGAAUUCCUGCUGACUCUGGUGCCUUCUAAGAGGACCCUCAGAUUUUCCAGCUCUCACCUCUGGGAAGAAAAGGCUAAAGGCAGAAGGAGAGAUUUGUGAAAGGCUGAGAAGGAACUGAGGCCCCUGGUCUGCCCAGCCAGGACUGACCAGGUCAAGCACCAAAGAGGCCUACUAGAAACAUCUCAGCCAACUCUUCCUUCUUCUGAGCUAAGACAGAAGCCCACAGAAGGAUCAGAGCUGCCCCGGCACACACGCAACUUCUGAGGCUCUGUUCACAUGGGUGACCAUGGGCCUUGUGUUGAUUCACCCAAAGUCUUCACAGUUCAGGAACCCUACCAAGAUUGUAACCACCCCAUUUUUAAAAUGACAUCAAGCCCACUUUCCUACUUUUCUGCCAGAGAUGUGUUACUUCUCACCAUUCACCAAUUUGCUGAAGGAACUCUCAGACCCAAGAGCUCCUCAGGCUUCCUGGAGAUCCCAGCAGAUCUUGCAAGAUCCUGAUUGAGUUAAAUGUCAAAGAACAGUUCAGACCUGGACAACUCAAAUGACACUGGUUGCUUUCACAGUUCAGCUGAGAAACAACAAUGUACCUGCCAGCAGCCAGGCUCUCAGAAGGCUCCAGGGCUCAAAUGGAGUUCCAGGGCUCCAGUGCUGACCUGCUGAUAUGAUGAUGCUCCAGCCCUGGCAUGGGUCUGUGACUCCCCAGUUGCUGUGGGAGCACUGCUCUGCUUUAUGUCCAACCAGACCUUGAUGGGAUAUGAAUAGGCAGGGAGAAGACAGGACAGUGAAAAGGAUGAGGGUGGAUGAGCCAUUUCAUCCUCACCUCCCUCAAAGUUCCUCCCCAAGGCCUGGACUUUCCACCUUCCUCCCAGCUCACCCUUGGCCUCCAGAGAAGUCGGCUAAGAGGUCUGUACACAUGGGUGGGGCCCAGUGUCAACAAUGGGAAAUAAUCAAGCCAACUAAGGAAGACAUCACCUGGUGGUGACAGGGCUUGACUACAAAGCAAGCAGCACAGCUUCCCCGAUUCCCAGCUCUGCUACUUAAACUGCUGAGCCUCAGUUUCUACACCCAUAAAAUAGGGAGCCCAGCAUCGGCUUGCAGGAUUAUUGUGAAUAUCCAACACAUUACAUAAAAGUGCUUUGCAAACCGUAGAGAGGCUUACAAUGGAACUGCAUUCUCAGGUAUUCCUUCUACUACGUGAAAAGACUGGAACAUGGGUAUCUCCCCAUUCAUAGGCACACAGACAUUCCUACAAGCAUCAGGGGUGGGAGUGCAAGAACGAAUUCCCAUCUAUUUACAGUGGCCUGAUAGAAUAAAAGAAGUUGAC